CCUACGGGAGGCAGCAGUGAGGAAUAUUGGACAAUGGGCGCAAGCCUGAUCCAGCCAUGCCGCGUGCAGGAAGACGGUCCUAUGGAUUGUAAACUGCUUUUGUACAGGAAGAAACACUCCCUCGUGAGGGAGCUUGACGGUACUGUAAGAAUAAGGAUCGGCUAACUCCGUGCCAGCAGCCGCGGUAAUACGGAGGAUCCAAGCGUUAUCCGGAAUCAUUGGGUUUAAAGGGUCCGUAGGCGGUUUAAUAAGUCAGUGGUGAAAUCUGGUCGCUCAACGAUCAAACGGCCAUUGAUACUGUUAGACUUGAAUUAUUAGGAAGUAACUAGAAUAUGUAGUGUAGCGGUGAAAUGCUUAGAUAUUACAUGGAAUACCAAUUGCGAAGGCAGGUUACUACUAAUGGAUUGACGCUGAUGGACGAAAGCGUGGGGAGCGAACAGGAUUAGAUACCCUGGUAGUCCACGCCGUAAACGAUGGAUACUAGCUGUUCGGAGCAAUCUGAGUGGCUAAGCGAAAGUGAUAAGUAUCCCACCUGGGGAGUACGUUCGCAAGAAUGAAACUUAAAUGAAAUUGACGG
rnacentral:rRNA from 1 species